UGUGAAUAUAAAUUAUAUCUCCUUUCAAUUAGGAUAAGUUCUUUUUUCAUUGCUAUGAUGGAAUUUGAUGAAUGAGCUGACAUUUUGUACAUUCUGUUUAGAUGUAUAAUUAUGAAUCUUUCAUUUUAAAAGAUUGAAAUUCUCAAUCUUUCAUCAUGACAAUUAAUCACAUUGAUUACACCGCAUUUGUCUCCUUAGGGUAAGGGAAAAUGAUAAUGGCAAUCUAUAAAGCUAAUGAAAUCAUAUAUAAUCAAAUCACAGACUGUUUAGUGCAAUUAAUGAUUUAGUAGCCUGGACCAUCACUCAACUCCAGCGAUCUUGUCCUGAAACUUUAUUUUAAUCAUGAUGCCAAUCAGGACUUUUCAGGAUGUGGUCAGUACUAUAUGAGCUAACAUGGCAAUGAGCUUUGAAUAGUAAUCCAUUUUUUCAGCACUCUUCAGCUACAUGACAAGAGCCUUCUAGAAACUUUUUCAGUUGUGUCUUGAUGGCAGACAGUACACUGAAGCAAAGAGAACUCAGGGCAGGACAUUUGAGCAGAGAUUUUUUAAAGUUCAUGGAAAAACAACGGUGUGGCUAUAAAACUUUAGUUAUAAGUCACCAGAUGUGAUAAAAAUAACUGAAGAGAUAAAAUAAUUAUGACAACAAUCUUUUUUCAGUAACUAUAGUUAACCUACAAAACUAAAAACACCAAAAACUUUAAAAGAUAAAUAUUUUUAUAUCUUAAAACCACCCUUGGAUGUCCAUGUCUAAUAGUUGUGCACAGGAGUUUAUUCUAGAGUUCCUCUUCCUUUGUUUAAUCACAAGGGUGUGGGUCAAGUCCAGCUUUGUUUGGCUCAACACAGAGCAGCACUCAGGUAACCAAGGAACCAUCCCUCCUGAUGUCAUCUCUUCCUUAACAACCACUUCAAAAUCACAUGAAACAGUAGGCCUGCCCUUCCUUUAUAGAAUCAGAUGCUGAAGGCCACUGGGCUUUUAGCCACAGCUCAGGGAAGGCAGAGAAAUAAUUUCAAUCCCAGCUGUUAACUUACCUUGAAGAACUUCCAUGGGGAGAACAGUCCAGGCAUUCUCCAGAUAUGACUUGGGGCACUGGUACCUGUGAUUUUGAGAGUCCCACUGUUGAAAGGGAUCAUCCCUUCCAAGAAGCCUCCCAAGAUGUCUCCAGUCCUGCUCUAUGGCACUGCUUCCAGAAGUAACACUGAUAACGGCAUGUUCCUUCUUUGAUGAAGAGUUCCCAAAAUGGAUUGACCAGGUGAAAAUAAGAAAGGGGAAUAGAGAGGAGGAAGAUGGAGCUGUUCUCUACAUGCCAAUGUUUCUGAAAGACAUCUCCAACUUCAUCCUUUCUCUAAAUCUGGGCUUAUCAAUGCAACUUUCCAAUGGGCAUCCUCCCCAUCUCAUAGAAAUUCCACAAGUUCCAAACUCCAGGAUCCUCUUCCCCUACCCAGAGCCCACACCUCUCUUCCUGGGUUCUUCUCCUUGGUGAAUGGCACCAGUACUCAUCUGGUACCUAACCCGUAAUAUAACUCCUCUCCUUCAUUCCAGCUAUGCAAGGUCCUGCUCAGAAGAACUCUGGCUUUUAUUCAUUUUAUAUCCACUCCCAAUGUCAUAGGCACCAAACCUAACAUUUCUGUAGCAUCUGACAUUUUCUUUUCUGUUUUACUGUCUUCCACCUCCAACAGAACAUGAGCUCCAUGACACAAGAAUAUGUCUGUCAUAUUCAACACUGCAACCCUAGAACAAUCACUGAUCAUUUAAUAAAGUCUCCUUUAAAGAAAUAUUGAAUGAACACAAUAUUUAAUUGUGAAUUAAUUCUUCCUAAAUGAUAUGUGGUCAUCAUUAGAAACAUUAGUUUUUGCCACUUAUAUUCAGUACAAGUUAGUUUAAUCACAUUACUCUCAUCCUAACACUGCUAAGAGGAGCUAACCCUGAAGGAAUAAGAGUUUCACUCAGGGUAGAAGGAAUAAUUUGGGGACGUGGGGGCACUUUACAGGGAUGGAGAUCUCACCAGGAGGAGACAUAGGAGGGUGGUUGAAACCAUUGAAAAAGUGAUACCAGGCAUUAGUCAUUCAAAGCAGAAAUGAGGAAGACUAAGAGGUGAGACUGGGUUGCAUAAAGGAACAAAACAGUUGCUAAUCUAACCCUGUGCCUAUGAAGCUAUAAGGUAGCAGCUGAGAACAUGACUUUGGGGUUUAAAUCCUAAGUUCAUUAUUUACUGGCUGUGUCAUCAUGGGAAACUUAAUCACUCUACAAUUCUCAUCUCUAAAAUGGACAUAACAAUGCCUAACUCACAAGACUGUUAAAAAGAUUAAAUAGGGCUUAUAGGAAAAGCAUUUAGCACGAUGCUUUUGUAACUUUUAUAUGUAAUAAGCAAUCAAAUGGUAGUAUAAUUACUAUUUUUAAAAUAUUAUCCCAUAAUUAUAAUUUUUGUUAAGAUUAGAGUUUUGUUAUUGUUGUUGUUGUUGUGUUGUUGUUGUUUUGAGAUGGAGUCUGGCUCUGUCUCUCAGGCUGGAGUGCAGUGGCGCAAUCUCGGCUCACUGCAACGUCCACUUCCCAGGUUCAAGCGAUUGGAGAUUUUUAAACUUAUUUUUGUUUUUUACUUUUCAUCUAGAUUAUUUACCUAUUCUGAUAUUUUUGAAGUUGCUGAAAAAAAAAUCAAAAAACUUUCAUCUGGAUUGGUAGAAAUCACUAAAUCAGCAAAGAUAGUACAUGAAUCAUCAGCUGAUGACUCAAAAAAACAGCACAGCUUGUAAUUUCUCUAAAACUCAGAGAAUGAAGAAAAAUGGACCUUUGUAAAGUAGGGUGAGAUAAAUAAUAAGAAAUCCCCUGCCCAAGCAAUUGCCUUCAAAAAACAUAAAAGCAGAAAUCAGUUAUAUCACCUUCUGCUAAAACUCAGCUUCUCUUAGAAAAACAUUCCAAUUCUUAGUAUGAUGCUCAAGCUUCCCAGGAUCCUUGCCCAGUGCACUGGUGUCCUUUUAUUACCCUCUCCCUGGCCAUUCACAUGUGUGGUUUUCUCUGUCCCCAAGAUCUUCACUGGGGGCUUCCAUUCAGGACUCUGCUCAAAUGCCACUUCCUCAGGGAAAGUAUCCCAGCCUAACCGAGCUGAAACAAUUGCUUCUCCUCAGUCACUCUUAGGACCCUUCACUCUGUCUUACUUUUGCCCUAAAUCACCCAUCAUUAUCAGAAGUAAAAUCAUCUACUUACUGUUCAUUGUCUGCCCAGUAGAAUGUGAGUCCCACGAGGACUGACCUUUGUCUUUCUUAUUACAGAUUCCAUAUAUCCCUAGAUUAUAGCACAGUGCCUGUCACCCAGUGUGUUUAAUAAAUACUUGUUGGAGGAAUGAAUUAGUAACCAUACUACCUACUGUUCAUAGUUGAGGACUUAUUAUGUGCUUGCUAGCAUUAUCUCGUUUAAUCUUAAGGAUAAUGCUAUGAAGUUAGGUAUAAUUAUUGCCCCGUUUUACAAAUGAGGAACCUGAGGCUUAACAAAGCUAAAAUUACUAACUUAUCCAAUGUUAGACAGGACUAAGUGUGGGAUUUGAAUCUAGAUCAAAUGCACACAUGUACAUAUACACACACAUACACUUUUUAUAGGCAAAUUGGCAAAAAGAAGGAAAAAAGAAAACAGGGUAACUACUACACUACUCAACGAUCCUACCAGGGCUUAGGAUGAUGACUGGAGUCAAGCCUAGACCAACUUGCUCUCUUCUCAUUCUCCUCAAUGGAAUGAAAUGCUUGGCCAAUGGUUAUAACCAAGGACCACUGGCCAACACUGCAUCACUGAGGAUUCCUCACUGUACUCAGCAACCACAACGCGCAGGAGAUGGUCCAAAGGUAUAGUACACCUGGACAAAUGUAACCAAAAGUUUAUUCUUCUUUUCAAUAAUGUCAGAGCUUCAAUCUAUAUGUUAACUUUUUAAAGGAAAGAAAAACUCAGUGGCUGGGCACAAUGGCUCAUUGCCUAUAAACCCAGCACUUUUGGAGGCUGAGGUGGGCAGAUCACUUGGGCUUAGGAGUUUAAGACUAGCCUGGCCAACAUGACAAAACCUCGUCUCUACAAAAAAUACAAAACUUAGCUGGGCAUGGUGGCACAUGCCUGUAGUCUGUGCUACUUGGGAGGCUGGGGUGGGGGUAUCAUCUGAGCCCAAGGUGUUGAGGCUGCAGUGAGCUGAGAUUGCAUCACUGCAUUCCAGCCUGGGAGACAGAGUGAGACCCCUGUCUCAAAAAAAAAAAAAAAAAAAAAAAAAAGGAAAAAGAGAAAAAGAAAAAGUUAGCAAGUUACUGUUUGUCUAUAGACUACUAUUUAAAGACGUUUUCAGCAGAAAAAAGGUAAGAAUUGCUCAGUAUUUCAGAAAUAAGAAUGGAAUUGUUACUUCUUCAAGUUGGAAAGGCUUUGGAGAGGUAUGCUAUGAAGUAAGCUUCUGAGAAAAUUUAUUUUCUUAUCCACUCUUCCAGAUUAUCCUUCAAAAUUAUAUAAUUGCAGUCUGCCAAAUAUUUCCAUGUAUAUGUAGAAAUAUAAUUAGCCAAAUUAGUUAAGACUUUUGACUUGUACAAUAAAAACGCAGUAAACUGACACUCUAUUACUCAAGAUAACGAAACAGCUGGUACAAACACUCAUACCUGCAUUUACUGCCAGUAAUAAACUUUAUGAGCUUUGGGACAUCACUUGGCUUUUUGGUAUCUUGAUUUCUUUUUCUUUUUUUUUAAAUUUUAUUUUAUUAUUAUUAUACUUUAAGUUUUAGGGUACACGUGCACAAUGUGCAGGUUAGUUACAUAUGUAUACAUGUGCCAUGCUGGUGUGCUACACCCAUUAACUCAUCAUUUAGCAUUAGGUAUAUCUCCUAAAGCUAUCCCUCCCCCCUUCCCCCACCCCACAACAGUCCCCAGAGUGUGAUGUUCCCCUCCCUGUGUCCAUGUGUUCUCAUUGUUCAGUUCCCACCUAUGAGUGAGAAUAUGCGGUGUUUGGUUUUUUGUUCUUGCGAUAGUUUACUGAGAAUGAUGAUUUCCAAUUUCAUCCAUGUCCCUACAAAGGACAUGAACUCAUCAUUUUUUAUGGCUGCAUAGUAUUCCAUGGUGUAUAUGUGCCACAUUUUCUUAAUCCAGUCUAUCAUUGUUGGACAUUUGGGUUGGUUCCAAGUUUUUGCUAUUGUGAAUAGUGCCGCAAUAAACAUAUGUGUGCAUGUGUCUUUAUAGCAGCAUGAAUUACUAUUCAAAUCUAAGUUGUUGGACACAGUUUGAUAUUAAUUUUUUUUUUUUGAGAUGAAGUCUUGCUCUGUCACCUAGGCGGGUGUGCAGUGGUGCCAUCUCGGCUCACUGCAACCUCCAUCUCCCAAGUUCAAGUGAUUCUCCUGCCUCAGCCUCCCAAGUAGCUGGGACUACAAGUGCCCGCCACCAUGCCCAGCUAAUUUUUGUAUUUUUAGUAGAGAUGGGGUUUCACCAUGUUGACCAGGCUGGUCUUGAACUCCUGACCUCAGGUGAUCCACCUGCCUCAGCCUGCCAAAGUGCUGGGAUUACAGGCAUGAGCCACUGCGCCCAGCUAAUUCUUAACAACAUACUAUGCAUUUGCACCUGAUCUCAUUUUAAAGAGAAGAAAAUAAGACCUGAAGCCAUGGUUGUUAUACAAAACAGACUUGUAAUCAUUUAUGCCAUUUAGGGCAAAAUAUAGACAGACAAUAUGCAUAUUAGGGACACAAAAUCUCAAUGUUUACCUGAGGUAUUUGGAUAAAUGUUUCUUUAAAACAUAUACAGCUAUAACUAUGCACACACAUGCAUAUGCAUAUACACAUACACACAUUUGGCUCUUCUACAGGAGGACGGUUAUAUUGAUCCACUGUAAGGACACAUGGGUUUCAAACUAUUUCCCAGUAGAAAAUACCAAAAAAAGGUAGAGACUGUCUAGCACCAAGAAUGGAAAAUUAUGAAUAUUUUGCCAUUAUUUCCUUAAAGAAAAAAUAUUACAGAUAAUGUAGAGGUCCCCUUUGUUCCCCAUCCAAGUCCCUUUCUCUUUUUGUCCUGUCCAGAAAGCUAGGGCAACUGUGAAUUUAGAGUGUAUUAUUCCUCUACAAAUUUAAAUGUCUUUAUAUAUAUGUAAAUCCAUAAAAAUAUGCUAAACUUUUAAAAUUUAUCGUUAACAUUUGUAUAACUGUACCGAAUUGUGUAUUAUUUUGAAACCUGCUUUUUUCCCCAGUCAACAUCAUAGUGUUGACAGCUUUCCAUGUUGGCAUAUUGAUCUAGUCUAUUUCUUUUAACCCCUGCAUUAACAUUUCACCUUAUGACUAUACCAUAUUGAAUGUAUCCAUUCCUCAAUUGAUGGUUAUUUAGACUGUUUCUCUUUUUCACUGUAAGAAAGCCACAAGUAAGCAACUAAGCAUCCUUGUACACAUCUUUCUGCAUGUGUAUGAGUUUCUCCAGGGAGGUAUUUACCUAAAAAAUGUAAUUUUUAGGCCAUAGGGAGUAUCUAGCUUGAGGCUGAGCAUAGAGUGCUAAAUUGGUCUCCACAGUGGUUGUCUAGGUAAUGGAAUUUGCAGGAACCAUCUUUACUCUUGUCUGCCAUACACUUUGACCAUCACCUCAGCCUGUUAGAUGGUGGCAGUCUAAGGGCAGUCUGCAAUCACAAAAGGUACAGUACAUAUGGUGUUUGUCCUGCUCUCUUUAACUCAGCAAGUACCUCAAUCAACCCAGCCACUGAAGAUGGAAGAGAAAGAAAACCAUGUGAUGCCAGUAAAAGCCCUGGAUCCAUUUAUACCACUUUGCAACAAUGGCCUUUUCUUCUUAACUAUGAAUAGCUUGAUUAUAAGUAAUGCUGUUAUUAAUAAGUCAGCCUGGUAGCUAUAUUACAUGGUAAGAUAUUUCUUUGCAAAGAUGUUCUUUUCAAGGGAUGAUAAAAACCAAAUGAUUAUCUUUCAAUUCCUGAUCAUAAAUUCUUCAAUUUUUGAGACUCCAUAGCUUACAAUGUGAUAAUGAGAACCUAUAUUUGAAAUAGCUCCAAGGGGCUUUUCCUCCAAAAAUGGGUAUCAAUGUCUUUGGAGGUAAAAUGUGAAAGGAAUAGGAAAAUAGAAAUCUACCCACAUAUAAAUAAUAGCUGCAAUUAUAAUUUUCAUAUUGCCAGCUAUUAUGAAGAUAGUAGCUUAUAAUGCCUAAAACGUGGCACUAAGAAGUAGAUAAGCAAUUUAUUUUUUAAUGUGGCUUCUUUAUAUCACUAGGUAGGUCAUUUUUUCGUAUGUGCUAUGACACAGACUAUAUGUAUAAGAUAGGGCCUAUGUGUCCUCCAUAUAUUAGCAGAGGACUUAGCAGUACAGGAAUAAUCCAUAAAUGCCAUAUUUUAACAAAUCCAAAGCUCUCUAGUUGGCACAAAAUGAAAAAUGAAAUCCACUGGUGAUGGACUCACACUGACCUAACCUCACAGUUUCGCUCAAUCACUCAUGUCUAACAGAACAUUGCCAGCUGUCCUUUUGGCUAAAAGCAAAACAAAACAAAACAAAAUUGAAAUCACUAACUUUGUGUUCUCUGAUUAGAAAAGCUCUAAUUAGCUCCAUUCUCUAAUACUCAUUGUGUUAAAAUAAUUCCAUGUCAGACACCCUGAGUGCGCUAAUAUUUUUAUAUUUUGUGUGUCAAGACAUCCUUUCAAGUUAUUUUUUUUUACUGAGCCUAUGAAUCAGAGAGAGACUGCAUAUUUUUAGUUUUCUCUGAAACAUUUAGGAUUGUGCUAAACAUGAACUCUCUGGAUAAAUGUUUGUGGUGAUGGCUUGUGACCUGUCCCAGCAGCUGGCCCAGGCCUACCAUAUUUUCAGAGCAGUGCACUGGGAGAGAUCCUCAGAAUCCCUAAGUCCCUCACCCCUGAAAUUUGGCCUGUUCUAAAAUAGAAUCAGUACAGUCUUAGAUGGCUCUGAAGGAGGUUGACAUUUAAGCUCAGCUUUAAAGCCAGGGUAUAAAUGCAAGGAGACCAGAACCGAGUAUUCAUCUCUUGUAUUCCCACCAGUAUGUAGUUUUGGGUUGAGCAGACCCAGAACGAACAUCCAUAAAUGUCUGGCUACUGUAGAUUCCCUCUCUGGCCAACUUGGAAUUUCUAGUUCGUAGUCCAUGUUUCAUUAGCUUCUUUAUAAAUGAAUGUGCCUUCCUAGUUCCUCCCUCUCUCUGAUCCCCCAAAUUUUAAAAACUUCACAACACUGCCAGAUAAUUUUUUUCCAACUCAGAUCCCAGUGAGUUAUUCGGCAGAUUUUACUGCUAACACAUAGCUCUCCCAGUUUAAACUACUUUUCAGUUGGGUUUUUCAAAAAGCUAGCGAGCUGUAGCAGUUGGAACUAUAGGAUUUAGCAGAGUCAAGUGCCUGUGCCUUUCUGUCGGACAGAACACUCUGGCAGGCAGUGAAGAGAUCUGGGGGAACUUCCCAAACUGUGCAGCCUUGGAUACACCCUGCGUCCAUCCACCUGGCUUUUAUGUUGCGAAAACAGUAUACUCUUAUAAUCUCAAACUCUUUCAGAGUUUGUAAUAAUUCUAUGAUUAUUAAAACUCAGAUAAAGUUCAGCAAGGCUUAAUCUCAUUUUGGUCUUAGGAAACUAAACCUCACCACAAGACGGGAGAAUCCUGAAGAUCAUUUGAUGGUGGCAAAAUCAUUCACUUUUGGAGAGUGCUAUUUUUUAGGUAGGAUUUUUUAAGCUUAAUUCACAAAGACAUUUUUUAAAUAUUAAAAUUCAUGCCCUUUGAUUGAUCAAGGAGGAGGCAGGAUAAUGUAUUUUUUUUCCCUCGUACCAGAGUUUAAUACAAGCUAUAUCUCCUUUGGCAAAUCACCUAUCCCGAUAAAAAACAAAACUGUUUUUAAAUCUCAGCUCUGUAAUCCUUAGAGCUUAAAGAUAAAGGAAUAAAAAUGACCUUCUUUUUGUCCAUUAGUCAAUUACAGGAAGCAUUAUUCUUUCCAUAUUACCACGUUAUGAAUCUGAUUUCAAAGUAAGUAUUCUAAUGAAAAGAGAAGCACUUAACUUUUUUAAAAAAUUCCAACUGACUCUGCAAAUGAAAUUUUUAAACCAAGGUACCAGGAGAGGAAAAAGACCUUAUGUUCUAAAGCCACCAUCAUAUGAAAUAAAUUAUUCUGUCUUUUAUGUAUCCGAAUGGUAGUAGUUAUAUGCCAUCCUUGGGAGAACUGAAGAAAUGGUCACUCAAGUCAUUCUGUAUGUUUUGUGUUUCUGAGGAGCCCUCACUGAGAAAGGCUGGCAGCGUCAGAAAAAAAAAAAAUUCGUGUUCUUUAAACAGGGUAUAGUCGGGUUUUUUUUUUUUUUUUUUUUUUUUUUUUUUUUUUUGGUGAUUGGGGCUUUUUAAAAAGAGAGGUACUCUGGAAAAGGAGACAGAACAUAUUUAAGUCCUACUUUUAGCAUGUGAAGGAGCUAGAUUCUACAUUUUCUUAAAUACUCUGAUGAGUUAAAUGGAACUAACACUCAAAUGCCACCAAAUCCCCCCACCACUGAUAGUUAACAAUGACAGCAUCUCCGACUGCUUCUUGCAUCUUUGCUAUCUGCCUGACUCCAUUCUGAGUGCUUUGCAUCAGUUCUCCUGUAAUUCUCUUUAAUAUGAGAUAAGUAUCCCCAGAUUUACAGAUGAAUAAAACUGAGACUCAGCUCACACAGCAGGCCCAAGAUUGUCCAGUUAAAUAAGGAGCACAAGCAGGAUGGAAGCCAGGCCAGUUCAACUCAAAGGGCCUCACUUAACACCAAGGCCUACUCUGAAGGGUGCAAGACUUCAGGCUUGUAUCCUCAGGUGGGCUGUAAAAUAAGGGGCCUGGACUACACCAGAUCUAAAUUUGUUACCCAGUACGCUACAGUUAAUUUACCAAGAUACAUAGUGCAAAAACAAGGAAAAAGAUUAAUGUCACUUUUUACUAUGAUUUUGUAUAAAAUAAUUGGAAUUUAAAAUAGGGCACAAAACAUUAUCUUUAUGAAACACUUGUUUCUGAAUGAAAUGGAGGAUGGUUUUAGCACCCUAAUACUCAGUUUCAAAAUUGUAACAAUAAAGUUACACAAGAUGAUAUAAAUUCUAACCCCUGUAGAAAUGUUGGACUGAUUAUCCAAUUUCAGGAGUUACAGUGUGGCUUUAUGUUUGUUUUCUUUAGUGCUUUGCCAUGGUUUUUAUAUAAUAAAUGAAAAACACAAACAAAAAACACAAAACUGAGUUGUGGAGAAUGAUGACUUCGAUGGAACCAUAAAAUCUCCCCUACACUAAAAAGAAAAGAACACACAGCCACUUUACAUCUGCAAUCCACCUUCCUCAGACCUUGUGAGUAAACUCCUGUUUCACUGCUACAGAGCACUCAUUUAUUUCACAUUUUAAAAACUGACACUGAUAUUACAGUAGAACUGAUGUUGUGGCUAAACUAUAUUCUACAGUGCCUAUAAGUUGGCUGGCAGGAUUCCACAUGGAAUCUUCGUACCUCUGUGAAAAACUGGGCCAUGACCAAGAAUACUCAUACACUGGGCUUAAAGCCACAGUCAAUUACUUGUACUGCUCUGGCAGAGAAAACACAGGCCAAACAGGUCUCAUUUCACCAGUGCUAAGAAAAGUUAUUACCUUUUAUUUCAUUAACUAGUCAGAUGACAUCAAAUCAACAGUUUUUUUACACAUAUCCUACAAAAUUGAAAGUAUAAAAGUACUUCAUUUUCUAGUACUGAUUAACUUAAUUAGACUACUCAUUUUUUCUCCUUUUCUUUUUUGAAACAGGGUCUUGCUCUGUCACCCAGGCUGGAGUGCAGUGGUGUGAUCACAGCUCACUGCAGCCUUGACUUCCUUUUGGGCUCAACAGAUCCUCCCAGCUCAGGCUCCCAAGUAACUGGGACUACAGGUGUGUGACACCAUGCCCAGCUAAUGUUAUUUUUUGUAGAGACAAGGUCUCACCAUGUUGCCCAGGCUGAUCUCGAACUCCUGGGCUCAAGACAUCCUCCUGCCUCAGCCUCCCAAAGUGCUGGGAUUAUAGGUGUGAGCCACACCCAGAAUAGACUAAUCUUUAAGAAGACAACCUUUGUUUAUAAGAGCAAAAGAUUCUAUUAUAUAAAGGCUGCAUCAGGAGUGCACUUCCAAUUUGAUAUAACUCCAUUUCAUUUGAAAAUCUAUGGUCAUCAGAAAUUUGGGGAGAAAAAUUUCAAUUUGACUAAGAUGUUUAAGGGAGAAUGUUAGUUAUUUUGAAAAUCAUAAACAUCUUGACUUUGCAGGUUUAAUCAUCUGUACACUUCUGAUAUUGUACUGUCAACUUGUAUUUUUAUCAGCUUCAAUGGGUCUUGUAGUUAUAAACAGCAUAAUAUAUCAGACUGACAGAAAAAAAAGUAAAAUAAGCUGAACUCCUAAUCUAUGCUGGUCAUUGUUGAAGCAAUUGCCAUGUUUUAUCUCAUCUAGUCUUCAUAAAAAACCCUAAGAAGCAGGUACUAAUAAUAUCCCUAUUUAUAGAUAACAAUACAGAGAUGCAAAAAGUUCUGUAACUUGUCCAAGGCCAUAUAGUUCCAAGUUGCAGAGCCAGGCAAUCUGACUCAGCCUCUGCUCGUAACCACCAUACAAUCCUUAAAGUCCUGUUCCUUUUAUUUUUUUUUCUCCCUUGCUUAUGUCUUGGCCCACCUAGGAACACCCACAGAGGGUUCCUGGCUCAGGUGAUGAUAUUGGGGGGUGCUCAGAAAGUCCAUUGCUGCUAAAACAAUAUAUAGAAACAGGUUACAGUAAUACCAUAAUGACAGUUCCAUAUAACACAAAAUAUUCUCAAGCAUAAGGAUACUUACUUUAAGCAAUAAAGCACAGACCAACAUUUCAAUAAAUCAGAAACUUGAAAUACUAUCUUGGAGACAAUUAUAAUUGAUUUUCCUCAGCCCAUUUCUCUUCUUAGACGACAAGAUUUCCUUGUUGAUCUUAUCCACAUUCCCGAUUUUCACUGCUGCAAAUCUGCAUCCCGUCCUAACCUCUCCUAUAAGCUUCAGACUUACAAUAUUGUGUCAACUGCCUGCUAGACAUCCCCAUCUAGAUGUUUCAAUUUCAAACCAAACAAUCACACCCCCACCCCAUUCUACAUCUCCUUUCUGAAUUUCCUAUUAGAUUUUUGGAAUUACCAUACCAAGCUGGAAAUGUAGGGGUCUCUACCUCACUUCCACAUCCAAAUAAUUCUGUCAAUUUUACCUCCCAGAUCUAUUCCUUCCCUCAAUUUCUGUUGCUACUGCUGCAGUUCAGGCCUGUACCGUCUCUUACUUGGACUAUUUUAAGAACCUUCUCAGUGGGCUCCUGGCUUCAAAGUUACCCUCCAUAGCAACGUUCAAAGCAGGGAGGAACAUAUGAAAAUCUAUGGUCCUCCCUGCUUUGAACCUUGCUAUUGCUACCUACUGCCUCCAGAUGAAAUUCAGGUUACUGAUCCCAGCAUCCAUCUGGCCUCAAUCUCUCCUGUUUUUUCCAAUACGCUUCCCUUUAGUAUUCAGCCCCUGCAUCUUACUAAUCUGAGGCUCUUCGGGCCUAAAUAACUGUUCAACUAAAUUGAACAAAUGUCUAGGAUUUUGAUUUUUAAGUAAUAUAGAAUAAUACUUGGUCCUCUAGAGCAUGUAGAAUUCAUAAUUCCAAAUUUACUAUGAGAAUUAAGUCAUCUUUUAAAACAUUUUUAUUGUGGUAAAAACCAUUUUUAAAGAAGAAUUAAUCCUCCCUUAAGGAAUCAGAAUGGGGAAAAAGUUAUUUAAGGUCUACCAUCUUUUUGCUUUUUAAUCAAUAAUUGAGUUAUUCCAUUUGUAUUCUGUUUCUUCACAGUACCAAUUGCCAUCAGGAGUCUUUGUAAGUAGUGAAGAGUGGUGGAUCAGGAUCUCAUCAGAGGCAGGCACCAAUCUGACUUAAUUCAGGGACUUGGUUAGGUAGGUGACAGAAAAGCUGGGAAGCCAGACCACUGUGAGAACCACAGGCAGCCUCUCCACGGCCUUGGGCAGAAGAAUAAAUAGAGGAGAGAAUGUUGUUGGAGCUCAGGGCCACCCACAGUGGGUGGGGCAUAGGUGAGACGCAGCAGCUCACAGAGGUCUCUAGAGCUGAGGAGACAAGGCUGAGAGUCUGGGAAGCAGGACAGAGUACCCACGUGGAGAAAGCUACAGAGAGAGAGGGCUGUAGAGAUCUGUAGCUUCCCUAGAGUCUUCAGCUGAGUACUGACCAGCACAUGUACAUAAGUAAACUACAAGAGGCCAGAGAGAGGACUAGAGGGAACCAUCUCCAAAUCUUACACAAACACGCUGCAUGAGCUGGAAAGAGAGAAAUAAAUGCCCUGCUUUCCCCCCAACCUCCGCCCCUCCUCCUUUCCUGUAAUCCUCCCCUUACCUAUGCCUCUCAUUAGCCUGGUGGUUCUCAACCUUGGCUGCACAAACUAGAAUCAACUAGGAAGCUGUAAAAACGUUGAAUGCCUCGGUACACCCCUAGAAAGACUGAUGUAAUUGGUCUGGGUGCAACCUGGGCAUUAGGAGCUUUAAAAGCUCUCUUGGUGAGUUGAGAACCAAUACAUUAGCCGAACCCAGGUAGAAGACACGAGAACAGACCCUGGAAAACAUAGCCUACAGAAAUCAGCACCCUUUCAUACGGGGCAAGGAGAGGAUCUGAGAGUCUGUGGGCCUAAGAUCAGCAAAGAUGGCACAAAGAGAUGGGUAGAAAUAAGAUGAUGAGAAGAAGGAGAAAAGAAAGUAGGCAUGAUCUUCCUUAAACCCUUCAGUGGCCAGCUCACAUUGAACACCCGGCUGCAGAGUUUCUUCCCUCUUAUAAUACUUACUGCUAUUCCUCCAGUGACCAGACUAUCAUGUGCUACCUCCCAUGUGUCCUUGGCUGUGCUGAAGCCCAGCAUCUUGCUAUCUGUUCUGGUUCAUCCUGCAGCAUCCCAUCAGGAAACCCUGGUGUUCCUCCUCUUACUAGCUGCAUCAGGUAUUUUCUUCUUUCCCAAACUGACUGGCUAGCUCAUUUGCAUAUUUUGCUAAUAUUAAGUAGUAAUUGAUGGCUAAUAAUAGGUAAUGUAACCCCCUCGGAUAAUAUUUGCAUGGCAAAACAGACCUUGAGUGUAAGAAUUUCAGGGCAAAGUCACAGAUUGAUUGAAUAGAUUUUUCUGUGUCCCUUAAAAUGUAAAUAAAUUUAAAUCAAAUAACAUAGGGGAUGGCCUAACAUUGGAAAGUAAUGAUUUACAAAUUUACAAAUGAUUUACUGCAAUGUAUUUUGAUUAUAAUCCUACUCAUAGCUGCUAAAAUGUUAAGCAAUGUGAAGAUACCUUAAGAUACAUUUAUAUCCUGUUAAUCAUUUAUAGCCUAAAAAUAUACUUGCUGUAAAUUCCAAAGUCUUAUGAUUUUGAAUCAAAAGAAAUUUAUUUUUAAAAGUGGAAAUAUUUAGCAUUAUUAUCCUAUUUGCCUGAGAAAGUCACCUUCCAGAGAAGGACAAAAUCCAAGGUCAAAAUCAGAAAUCAGAUACUCUAUGUGUGUGUGUUUAGACUGACAGGUCAGUCCCUGAGAAACUGGUUGUAUAUUGUGAAACUGUUAAAAUACUGAGUUCAAAACUGGACAUGCUAUUUUUAAAAAACUAUUUUCUGGUAUGAAUCUUUCUUAUUAUUA